rnacentral:lncRNA from 1 species
GCUUGGUCCGUUUCUGUGUGUGUUGCGUUUCGGUGUUUUGUCGUUGUUCUCCUCUUAUAUUUAAUGCGCUUCCCUCGGUUUUAGUUUGUUACCCCAAUUUCCUUUGUCUAAUAUGUUCUCCUAUUUAUUUGUAUUGUAGUCCUGUACUAUUAUGUUGUCAUUUCAAUGUUAUAUUUAAUUUUGCCAUUAAAGUGUGAGUGUUGGCAUGCCAAAA